UACGUAGGGGGCAAGCGUUGUCCGGAAUCAUUGGGCGUAAAGAGCGUGUAGGCGGCCCGGUAAGUCUGUUGUGAAAGUCCAGGGCUCAACCCUGGAAUGCCGAUGGAUACUGCCGGGCUAGAGUUCGGAAGAGGCGAGUGGAAUUCCUGGUGUAGCGGUGGAAUGCGCAGAUAUCAGGAGGAACACCUAUAGCGAAGGCAGCUCGCUGGGACGACACUGACGCUGAGACGCGAAAGCUAGGGGAGCAAACAGG
rnacentral:rRNA from 1 species